GACGAACGCUGGCGGCGUGCCUAAUACAUGCAAGUUGAGCGAUGAAGAUUGGUGCUUGCACCAAUUUGAAGAGCAGCGAACGGGUGAGUAACGCGUGGGGAAUCUGCCUUUGAGCGGGGGACAACAUUUGGAAACGAAUGCUAAUACCGCAUAAUAACUUUAAACAUAAGUUUUAAGUUUGAAAGAUGCAAUUGCAUCACUCAAAGAUGAUCCCGCGUUGUAUUAGCUAGUUGGUGAGGUAAAGGCUCACCAAGGCGAUGAUACAUAGCCGACCUGAGAGGGUGGUCGGCCACAAUGGGACUGAGACACGGCCCAAACUCCUACGGGAGGCAGCAGUAGGGAAUUUUCGGCAAUGGACGGAAGUCUGACCGAGCAACGCCGCGUGAGUGAAGAAGGUUUUCGGAUCGUAAAACUCUGUUGGUAGAGAAGAACGUUGGGGAGAGUGGAAAGCUCAUCAAGUGACGGUAACUACCCAGAAAGGGACGGCUAACUACGUG
rnacentral:rRNA from 1 species